rnacentral:rRNA from 1 species
GAGUUUGAUCCUGGCUCAGAGUGAACGCUGGCGGCAGGCCUAACACAUGCAAGUCGAACGGCAGCACAGCAGUAGCAAUACUGUGGGUGGCGAGUGGCGGACGGGUGAGGAAUACAUCGGAAUCUACCUUGUCGUGGGGGAUAACGUAGGGAAACUUACGCUAAUACCGCAUACGACCUACGGGUGAAAGCGGCGGACCGCAAGGCGUCGCGCGAUUGGAUGAGCCGAUGUCCGAUUAGCUAGUUGGCGGGGUAAAGGCCCACCAAGGCGACGAUCGGUAGCUGGUCUGAGAGGAUGAUCAGCCACACUGGAACUGAGACACGGUCCAGACUCCUACGGGAGGCAGCAGUGGGGAAUAUUGGACAAUGGGCGCAAGCCUGAUCCAGCCAUGCCGCGUGUGUGAAGAAGGCCUUCGGGUUGUAAAGCACUUUUGUCCGGAAAG